rnacentral:rRNA from 1 species
UACGAAGGGGGCUAGCGUUGUUCGGAAUUACUGGGCGUAAAGCGCACGUAGGCGGACUAUUAAGUCAGGGGUGAAAUCCCGGGGCUCAACCCCGGAACUGCCUUUGAUACUGGUAGUCUCGAGUCCGGAAGAGGUGAGUGGAAUUCCGAGUGUAGAGGUGAAAUUCGUAGAUAUUCGGAGGAACACCAGUGGCGAAGGCGGCUCACUGGUCCGGUACUGACGCUGAGGUGCGAAAGCGCGGGGAGCGAACGGG